UUAAUUCGAUGAUACGCGAGGAACCUUACCCGGGCUCAAACGCAUGCGGACAGCCGCGGAAACGCGGUCUCCCUCCGGGGCUGCAUGCGAGGUGCUGCAUGGUGUCGUCAGCUCGUGCCGUGAGGUGUCGGCUUAAGUGCCAUAACGAGCGCAACCCCCCAUCUUCAGUUGCCAUCGAGUUAAGUCGGGCACUCUGGAGAGACUGCCGGCGCAAGCUGUGAGGAAGGCGGGGAUGACGUCAAAUCAGCACGGCCCUUACGUCCGGGGCGACACACGUGUUACAAUGGCGGGGCACAGAAGGAAGCCAGGCCGCGAGGCCGAGCCGAUCCCGAAAACCCGUCUCAGUUCGGAUCGGAGUCUGCAACCCGACUCCGUGAAGCUGGAUUCGCUAGUAAUCGCGCAUCAGCCAUGGCGCGGUGAAUACGUUCCCGGGCCUUGUACACACCGCCCGUCAAGCCAUGGAAGCCUGGAGUGCCUGAAGUGCGUGACCGCGAGGAGCGCCCAAGGGUAAGACAGGUGACUGGGGCUAAGUCGUAACAAGGUAACCUA
rnacentral:rRNA from 1 species